rnacentral:rRNA from 1 species
UACGUAGGGCGCAAGCGUUGUCCGGAAUUAUUGGGCGUAAAGAGCUCGUAGGCGGCCAGUUGCGUCUGCUGUGAAAUCCCGGGGCUCAACCCCGGGCGUGCAGUGGGUACGGGCAGACUAGAGUGCGGUAGGGGAGACUGGAAUUCCUGGUGUAGCGGUGAAAUGCGCAGAUAUCAGGAGGAACACCGGUGGCGAAGGCGGGUCUCUGGCCGUAACUGACGCUGAGGAGCGAAAGCGUGGGAGCGAACAGG